rnacentral:rRNA from 1 species
GACGUAGGGCGCGAGCGUGUCCGGAUUUAUUGGGCGUAAAGAGCUCGUAGGCGGCUUGUCGCGUCGAAUGUGAAAACUCGGGGCUCAACUCCGAGCUUGCAUUCGAUACGGGCAGGCUAGAGUUCGGUAGGGGAGACUGGAAUUCCCGGUGUAGCGGUGAAAUGCGCAGAUAUCGGGAGGAACACCGGUGGCGAAGGCGGUUCUCUGGGCCUUACCUGACGCUGAGGAGCGAAAGCGUGGGGAGCGAACAGG